GAUAAAGGCUUAGUUGAGUGGAGUAUAAUGUAAAACUUCAGGGCGAAACCAAGAGUGUUACCCAUCCUAGAAAUGCCCUAUAAUUGCUCAAUGUUUUUAUCUUUGUAACCGCUUAGCUAAUUUACAUGGUUUGACGCAUUACUGUCCGUUAUCUCCCCCCAAAUGGCAGAAAUUUCAAAAUAAAAAUCUUAACCAAUGAACAGGGACAAAC
rnacentral:misc_RNA from 1 species